CCCAUUCCCACCACCGUUUCUUCCUUUCUCUCUUCAGAAGCAGCGCUGCGCGGUUCCCCGCGGUUGGGAGCAGCAGCCAGCAGGCUGCCAGAGAUCCAACCGCGCCUUGCAGCGCACAGAGGGACGCAACAGGGACGGACCGUCCUUCCUGCCGUGCAAAAGGACGGAGCCUGAGCGUCCAUGGAGUGGUGCUGGGUAUGGGGGGAAACGGAAAGCCUGCACAGAAGCUGACACGAGCGGCCUUCCAGCAAAGCGCAGCCUUGCAGAAAGGCAAGGCAGAAGCGCCCAGUGUGGCACAGCACCGAAGAGAGAGAUUGGUGCUGAGGCAAAUGGCAGUAUCUAUGUGAAAGUGGUGCUGCAGGUCCAUUCUGAGAGAUCUUGUCAACAAGCAGCAGCUCAAGCUCCUCACCAGGCUGGAGGGCUUCCUAGAAGAGCAGGUCCCAGCACAGGGGGAAGACCUUCCCCUGCCGCGUGCCCCCGCUCUGUCUCCAACACCCUGGCUGGA
ensembl:lncRNA